rnacentral:rRNA from 1 species
CAGUCGCCGCGGUAAUACCGAGGGUGCAAGCGUUAAUCGGAUUUACUGGGCGUAAAGCGUGCGUAGGCGGCUUCUUAAGUCGGAUGUGAAAUCCCUGAGCUUAACUUAGGAAUUGCAUUCGAUACUGGGAAGCUAGAGUAUGGGAGAGGAUGGUAGAAUUCCAGGUGUAGCGGUGAAAUGCGUAGAGAUCUGGAGGAAUACCGAUGGCGAAGGCAGCCAUCUGGCCUAAUACUGACGCUGAGGUACGAAAGCAUGGGGAGCAAACAGGAUUAGAUACCCGCGUAGUCCCUGUCUCUUAUAC